CCUACGGGAGGCAGCAGUGAGGAAUAUUGGUCAAUGGACGAGAGUCUGAACCAGCCAAGUAGCGUGAAGGAUGACUGCCCUAUGGGUUGUAAACUUCUUUUAUAUGGGAAUAAAACGUUCCACGUGUGGGAUUUUGUAUGUACCAUAUGAAUAAGGAUCGGCUAACUCCGUGCCAGCAGCCGCGGUAAUACGGAGGAUCCGAGCGUUAUCCGGAUUUAUUGGGUUUAAAGGGAGCGUAGGUGGAUUGUUAAGUCAGUUGUGAAAGUUUGCGGCUCAACCGUAAAAUUGCAGUUGAAACUGGCAGUCUUGAGUACAGUAGAGGUGGGCGGAAUUCGUGGUGUAGCGGUGAAAUGCUUAGAUAUCACGAAGAACUCCGAUUGCGAAGGCAGUUCACUGGACUGCAACUGACACUGAGGCUCGAAAGUGUGGGUAUCAAACAGGAUUAGAGACCCUAGUAGUC
rnacentral:rRNA from 1 species